ACGGGUGAGUAACGCGUGGGAACAUACCUCUUGGUUCGGAACAACACAGGGAAACUUGUGCUAAUACCGGAUAAGCCCUUACGGGGAAAGAUUUAUCGCCGAGAGAUUGGCCCGCGUCUGAUUAGCUAGUUGGUGGGGUAAAGGCCUACCAAGGCGACGAUCAGUAGCUGGUCUGAGAGGAUGAUCAGCCACAUUGGGACUGAGACACGGCCCAAACUCCUACGGGAGGCAGCAGUGGGGAAUAUUGGACAAUGGGCGCAAGCCUGAUCCAGCCAUGCCGCGUGAGUGAUGAAGGCCCUAGGGUUGUAAAGCUCUUUUGUACGGGAAGAUAAUGACGGUACCGUAAGAAUAAGCCCCGGCUAACUUCGUGCCAGCAGCCGCGGUAAUACGAAGGGGGCUAGCGUUGCUCGGAAUCACUGGGCGUAAAGGGUGCGUAGGCGGGUUUUUAAGUCAGAGGUGAAAUCCUGGAGCUCAACUCCAGAACUGUCUUUGAUACUGAAAGUCUUGAGUAUGGGAGAGGUGAGUGGAACUGCGAGU
rnacentral:rRNA from 1 species